UACGGGCACAUCACUUUGAAACACCGGUUUUCGUAAGAUCACCGAAGUUAAGCAAUGUCGAACCUGGUCAGUACCUAGAGAGGUAACUGCUUGGGAAUACUAGGUGCUGUU